GUGGCAGUGGAUUAAUGGUAAAGCUCCCGCUUCGUAGGCGGGAAGACCUGGUUCGAUUCCUGGCUGCUUUC
rnacentral:tRNA from 1 species